GAUACACACCAUCAAUAUUGCUAGAACUAUACCAACUUGUCAUCACAGUAUAAUUUAUACAAAAAAAAAAUCCAUCACAGAGCACAUACCCAAAAUAUAAUCCAAAAUGAAUACUUUUUCCACUAGCAGUGAUACUUGCACAAUCUUUAUGCUGAGCUACAUCACUUUAAAUCUAAACAAGAAAAAGAAAGAAAUCCACAUAAUGAGACUUAAAGUCCCAGUGAGUGAGAACCAUCCGUCCAAC
rnacentral:lncRNA from 1 species